rnacentral:misc_RNA from 1 species
UUGAAUUUUCUAGCAAAGGCAGCACCACUUUCAAUCAUUUUCCUUGUGUCAUUAAGGGAAAGGGUGUGUGGGUGCUGCUUGGGGGGCAUGUCCCAAGAAAUGUAGUGCAAAUCAUGAUUUACGGCUGUCUGAGCAAACUCUGGCACAUUGCAAAUUACAGUGUGAAAAUAGCCUUCAGGAGACGAGACGAAGUUUGUGUAAUACAUGAGUAAAAUUCUUGGUAGAUUAUCCCAACCCCAGAUUAAGUACUCUACAAAUGAACGAGUAAGAACCAUCCAUGCUGAACCAGUGAAUAAUUUGAAUGCUGUUGGCAAACCUCUGCGUGGUGUGGCCAAGUAUAUAUCUGUCUUCGUUGUUGAGUAGAGCCCAGGGUCGAUAACCAAAGGCAUUGCGCGUUUUUCCUCCUUCCAACCCAACUGACUUGUGUGCUCAAUAAAGUUCAGAUUUCGGUUUAUGGUUGAAAAUGUAUCAAGAAGAUCAUCUUGAGUUAUAAGAGGAUAAUCAGAGGCACUAAGAUUGAUAAACCAAUCCCAAUCUUUACUCCUCUUAAGAAGAAGAGAAGAAUCGCACAAGCAUGAAGUGUAUUAGCAACCAUGGUGGGUCCUCUAUAUGUAACCAUAUUAGCUUUGGUGAUCAUGUAAACAUUCCCAACCUUGGAGAAAAGGGGAUGUUUUUCCACUCGCGAAGAAAGCUCCAAUCUUUCCUCUGCUGGAGACUCAAGGUCCAAAUGAACUACAUAUUGAUUCCGCGGAUGAUAAAGUGCGUGAAGAGUUCUCCAGAGCUUUUCCAAAUCACCUUUAGACCCAGA